rnacentral:sRNA from 1 species
CUUGCGUUAUACACUCAGCGAAUACAUAUUAGAGAUGAGCGAUAUUCGGUUAACUGCUACUUUUCACUGGUACUAUCUACAGAUUUAACAGCUCGUGCAAGUUCAAUGUAAAUGCGAAAAUGUAAACAAAAGCAACGCACGCGCAGCAGCAACAGCAACAACAGCAACGAGAACAACAACAAGAAAAACACCAAUAGCAGCUAUAAUAUACACUCUGCCAUAAACUGGAUCUGACUGCCUUCCAGCUGGGGACCGUUGUCGUAUCCCUUCCAGUGGGCCUGCAGCACACGGCUAGCGUCGCUGGCAGCGCCACAACAACGUCAGUAGUGGUGUCCUGCUAGUCGUGCUGUGUCCUGACGCGCGCGCUACACUGGCAAAACUCAGGGAAAUUUUUCCACAAGCACACACAUACACACACGCACACAUACGCACACAACAGAGCGUUGCUUUACCUUUGCCAAAAAUAAAGAAAACACAUACCUUCACAUGGCCUGGCCAAGAGCCG